UCGCCCUUGUGCCAGCCGCCGCGGUAACACGUAGGAGGCAAACGUUAUCCGGAUUUACUGGGCGUAAAGCGCGUGUAGGUGGUUUGGUAAGUAGGGCGUGAAAGCUCCUGGCUCAACUGGGAGAGGACGUUCUAAACUGCCAAGCUUGAGGAUGGUAGAGGGAGGUGGAAUUCCGGGUGUAGCGGUGGAAUGCGCAGAUAUCCGGAGGAACACCAGUGGCGAAAGCGGCCUCCUGGACCGCUCCUGACACUCAGACGCGAAAGCUAGGGUAGCAAACGGGAUUAGAGACCCCGGUAGUCCUAGCCCUAAACGAUGUAGACUUGGCGUCGGUGGUUUAAUCGCCAUCGGUGUCGUAGCUUACGCGAUAAGUCUACCGCCCGGGGACUACGGCCGCAAGGUUAAAACUCAAAGGAAUUGACGGGUCCCCGCACAAGCAGCGGAGCGUGUGGUUUAAUUCGAUGCUACACGAAGAACCUUACCUGGGUUUGACAUAGAGGUAGUAGGGAAGCGAAAGCGGACCGACCCUUCGGGGAGCCUCUACGGGUGUUGCAUGGCUGUCGUCAGCUCGUGUCGUGAGAUGUUCGGUUAAGUCCGCUAACGAGCGCAACCCUCGCUGUGUGUUACAAGUGUCACACGGUACUGCCGAUAUUAAGUCGGAGGAAGGUGGGGAUGACGUCAAGUCAGCAUGACCUUUAUAUCCUGGGCUACACACACGCUACAAUGGCCAGUACAAUGGGUUGCCAAGCCGCGAGGCGGAGCCAAUCCUAAAAAGCUGGCCUCAGUUCAGAUUGCAGUCUGCAACUCGACUGCAUGAAGUUGGAGUUGCUAGUAACCGCAGGUCAGCGAUACUGCGGUGAAUACGUUCCCGGGGGAU
rnacentral:rRNA from 1 species